UUUCUUUGCAGUUUACAGAAUCAUGAACGAAUGCAGCUGCACGGUUCUUGUUACAGAUGAGAAAGUGGAAUCUGGUUGCUUGGUACUGCCAAAGCAUUUUUCUCGUAUACACUGUAAUGGGAUAUUAGGGAUCAUAUGAUUGAAAUCCCAACCGGGAUCCGUGAAAUUUUUCACAAAUAUCGCAUCAAGAAGGGUUAUGAAUUUAGCAUAACUCUCGUUAACCGCGCUAUCAUUGAGGGGGUUAUUUACGAUAGGAUGGGUGUUUUCGUUAAUCAACCUUCUAAGUCGAUUUGAGUGCACCUGUAGCUGAAGUAUGAUGGUCUAGUCCUACCAGAGGAUUGGGCUAGCUACAACCUUAUUCCUCUCAUCGAUAAUAAAGUUUCCUUUAGUAGUGUAAAAGUGAAGCCCCAAGAAAUCAAUUGUGAAGUCAGUUAAGGGUGUGCGGUUCAGUGGCUGUAGCAUGAAAGAGGGAAAAUCACCAACCGCCACCAGAUGAUAUAAGGCUGGAUGCAGACGACGUUUAAAAAGUUGCUAUGAGGGGGUGCAUAUGCAGCCCUUGUUGUGCAAUCGUUCCCUCGUCGGAGAGGCAUUCACUUAAUGAAAAUGCACUGAAAAAGAUGGUGAAAGUUGUUUGUAGAAGUAUGUUCGCAACGAAAAGCCUGCGAAGAUUCUAUAGUUGUCACGUGCGAUAUUGGGGACGAAAAAUCACUCUGUUGACGGGCGUGCACGACAUUGAAGUGAAACUGUAUUACUACACAGGUUUUGUUUGCAUUACCGGACUACACAAACUCAUCAACGAGUUAGAUCUACAGCUUAAUGACACAUCGGUCUUCCAUGUUGGGAACUUAGAAGAGACACUUGAUGUGUAGGUGAUUCGGCAGAUUAAAUCUCACGCUCGAUGAAUGGCAUAAUUGUGUUGCAACUUUAAGCAGAAUAUGUUGUUUUCUUUUUUCUUUUUUAUCCGCUAUUUGGAAAGUUAGUGGUUGGUGGACCUCCGAUCGAUUGUAUGGAUUUGUGAGGACUAGUACAUGUUUAACGCAUAUGACGUUUUACU